rnacentral:rRNA from 1 species
CUGAACAUUGAGCCUUGAUGUGUAGGAUAGGUGGGAGACUAUGAAGUGUGGACGCCAGUCUGCAUGGAGUCAACCUUGAAAUACCACCCUUUAACGUUUGAUGUUCUAACCUAGGUCCAUAAUCUGGAUCGGGGACCGUGUCUGGUGGGUAGUUUUGACUGGGGCGGUCUCCUCCUAAAGAGUAACGGAGGAGCACGAAGGUUGGCUAAGCAUGGUCGGACAUCAUGCGGUUAGUGCAAAGGCAUAAGCCAGCUUGACUGUGAGAGUGACGGCUCGAGCAGGUACGAAAGUAGGUCUUAGUGAUCCGGUGGUUCUGAAUGGAAGGGCCAUCGCUCAACGGAUAAAAGGUACUCCGGGGAUAACAGGCUGAUACCGCCCAAGAGUUCAUAUCGACGGCGGUGUUUGGCACCUCGAUGUCGGCUCAUCACAUCCUGGGGCUGAAGUAGGUCCCAAGGGUAUGGCUGUUCGCCUUUAAAGUGGUACGCGAGCUGGGUUUAGAACGUCGUGAGACAGUUCGGUCCCUAUCUGCCGU